AACGAACGCUGGCGGCAUGCCUAACACAUGCAAGUCGAACGAACCCUUCGGGGUCAGUGACGCACGGGUGCGUAACGCGAGGGAAGCUGCCCUUUGCGUCGGACUAACCCAGGGAAACUGGUGCCAAUACCGGACGAUGUCUACGGACGAAAGAUUUAUCGGCCCGGGAUGAGCCCGCGUAGGAUGAGGUAGUUGGUGGGGUAAAGGCCUACCAAGCCGACGAUCCUUAGCUGGUCUGAGAGGAUGGUCAGCCACACUGGGACUGGGACACGGCCCAGACUCCUACGGGAGGCGGCAGUGGGGAAUAUUGGACAAUGGGCGCAAGCCUGAUCCAGCAAUGCCGCGUGAGUGAUGAAGGCCCUCGAGUCGUAGAGCUCUUUUACCAGGGAUGAUAAUGACAGUACCUGGAGAGUAAGCUCCGGCUAACUCCGUG
rnacentral:rRNA from 1 species